GUGGGGAAUAUUGGACAAUGGGCGAAAGCCUGAUCCAGCCAUGCCGCGUGUGUGAAGAAGGUCUUCGGAUUGUAAAGCACUUUAAGUUGGGAGGAAGGGCAUUAACCUAAUACGUUAGUGUUUUGACGUUACCGACAGAAUAAGCACCGGCUAACUUCGUGCCAGCAGCCGCGGUAAUACGAAGGGUGCAAGCGUUAAUCGGAAUUACUGGGCGUAAAGCGCGCGUAGGUGGUUCGUUAAGUUGGAUGUGAAAGCCCCGGGCUCAACCUGGGAACUGCAUCCAAAACUGGCGAGCUAGAGUACGGUAGAGGGUGGUGGAAUUUCCUGUGUAGCGGUGAAAUGCGUAGAUAUAGGAAGGAACACCAGUGGCGAAGGCGACCACCUGGACUGAUACUGACACUGAGGUGCGAAAGCGUGGGGAGCAAACAGGAUUAGAUACCCCGGUAGUCC
rnacentral:rRNA from 1 species